rnacentral:rRNA from 1 species
UACGAAGGGGGCGAGCGUUGUUCGGAAUUACUGGGCGUAAAGGGCGCGUAGGCGGCCGAUCAAGUCAGAUGUGAAAGUCCUGGGCUUGACCUGGGGACUGCAUUUGAUACUGAUUGGCUUGAAUUCGGGAGAGGAUAGCGGAAUUCCCAGUGUAGAGGUGAAAUUCGUAGAUAUUGGGAAGAACACCGGUGGCGAAGGCGGCUAUCUGGACCCGACAUUGACGCUGAUGCGCGAAAGCGUGGGGAGCAAACAGG